rnacentral:rRNA from 1 species
UACAGAGGGGGCAAGCGUUAUUCGGAAUUAUUGGGCGUAAAGGGCGCGUAGGCGGCUUGACAAGUGGCGGGUGAAAUCCCUCGGCUUAACCGAGGAACUGCCUGCCAGACUGUCUUGCUUGAGACCGGGAGAGGUGAGUGGAAUUCCCAGUGUAGCGGUGAAAUGCGUAGAUAUUGGGAGGAACACCAGUGGCGAAGGCGGCUCACUGGACCGGAACUGACGCUGAGGCGCGAAAGCAUGGGGAGCAAACAGG